UACGGAGGGGGCGAGCGUUAUUCACCUUAACUGGGCGUAAAGGGUAUGUAGGUUGUUUUUUACAUUUGAAUCAAGUAAUCUAAGCAUAACUUCUGAAGUUGAUUUAAAUAUGUUUUUACUAGAGGAUAUGCGAAGUAAGUUACAUUUUUAGUGUAGGGGUGAAAUCCUUAGAUACUAAAGAGAUAUCCGUAUGGCGAAAGCUACUUGCUAGCAUAUUACUGACACUGAGGUACAAAAGCAUGGGGAUCAAACAGG
rnacentral:rRNA from 1 species